rnacentral:rRNA from 1 species
GAUGAACGCUGGCGGCGUGCCUAAUACAUGCAAGUCGAGCGAACGGACGAGAAGCUUGCUUCUCUGAUGUUAGCGGCGGACGGGUGAGUAACACGUGGAUAACCUACCUAUAAGACUGGGAUAACUUCGGGAAACCGUAGCUAAUACCGGAUAAUAUUUUGAACCGCAUGGUUCAAUAGUGAAAGACGGUUUUGCUGUCACUUAUAGAUGGAUCCGCGCUGCAUUAGCUAGUUGGUAAGGUAACGGCUUACCAAGGCAACGAUGCAUAGCCGACCUGAGAGGGUGAUCGGCCACACUGGAACUGAGACACGGUCCAGACUCCUACGGGAGGCAGCAGUAGGGAAUCUUCCGCAAUGGGCGAAAGCCUGACGGAGCAACGCCGCGUGAGUGAUGAAGGUCAUCGGAUCGUAAAACUCUGUUAUUAGGGAAGAACAAAUGUGUAAGUAACUGUGCACAUCUUGACGGUACCUAAUCAGAAAGCCACGGCUAACUACGUG